GAAAAUAUUUUCCAUGGAAUUGAACACCAACAUUAAAAGUAAAAAGGGGUUGGGAAGAAGAAACCUAAAACCAAUGAAUGGGGCUUGGCCCCCAGCUAGACGCGAGAUGGCUCGUUUUCAGAGAACAAAGGAGAGGGAAGAAGAUAGGUGUUCCUUGAACAUCUACUAUGUGAGAAACACCACCCAGGGCACUGCACCUGCCUGUGUUGGAAAGAGGAUGCAACCAUCCCCAACAGGGAAGGGUGGAAAAUGCUGCACUGUGCAUGGGCUCACAAGGAAGAUACAUAAUGUACAGCCGAAUCUACAGUCUCCUAUUUUGUCAGCUGCUUGUGUUGAUUAAAACUUCAAUAAAGAUCCUG
rnacentral:lncRNA from 1 species